rnacentral:rRNA from 1 species
GACGAACGCUGGCGGCGUGCCUAAUACAUGCAAGUAGAACGCUGAAGCGAGGAGCUUGCUCUUCUUGGAUGAGUUGCGAACGGGUGAGUAACGCGUAGGUAACCUGCCUUGUAGCGGGGGAUAACUAUUGGAAACGAUAGCUAAUACCGCAUAACAAUGGAUGACACAUGUCAUUUAUUUGAAAGGGGCAAUUGUUCCACUACAAGAUGGACCUGCGUUGUAUUAGCUAGUAGGUGAGGUAAUGGCUCACCUAGGCGACGAUACAUAGCCGACCUGAGAGGGUGAUCGGCCACAUUGGGACUGUGACACGGCCCAGACUCCUACGGGAGGCAGCAGUAGGGAAUCUUCGGCAAUGGGGGCAACCCUGACCGAGCAACGCCGCGUGAGUGAAGAAGGUUUUCGGAUCGUAAAGCUCUGUUGUAAGUCAAGAACGGGUGUGAGAGUGGAAAGUUCACACUGUGACGGUAGCUUACCAGAAAGGGACGGCUAACUACGUG